UCUCCAUUUUACACACUCUCUCGACGAUCAGAGAAACGAGAGAGUGUGCGAAAGGGAGAGA
rnacentral:pre_miRNA from 1 species